rnacentral:lncRNA from 1 species
GCUUUAUUUUUAAAAAGUGGAGUCCCAGUUUUAAUGAAUCAGAGUUAUAAAUCAGAAAUUCUGUAAACCAAUUCCAUAAGAAGAAAGGAUCCAGUAAUUAAACCGAUUCUAUUUAAUGACAUCUUUGUCGCAUAGGUGGUCUCUAAUGCUGACAACAGAUUUCUUAGAAAUGCUGCUCUCUCUAUUUAACUAACAUUUUGUUCAGUUUUGCCUCCAGUGGAAGCAGAAAGGGUUUUUUCAGCUGUUAAAUCCCCCAGCAGAGCCUGGGUUUUCUUUGCUGUCGUUGUUGUUGUUUUGUAUGGAAAGGCUGCUUUCCCCAGGUUCCACUUAGAACCUCCAGUAGGUCACAGGGUUCAGUAUGGAUUUGAUUUAACAACCCACCAGCAUGCUAAAAAUCCCUUGUUAUAUCUUAUCGAACCUG